ensembl:lncRNA
UCUACAUCUUAUAUCCUACAAUGUUGUUUCUUUCAGAUACUGUGCACAAAAUAUUAUAAACUUCUCACAUAUGAAGAAAUCUUACUUUUUAUUAAAAAAAACAACAAAAACUCCCCAUAAUUCUCAUCAGGCCAGUGGUAUAAUGUCAGUGUCCUUUGUCCAGUACGUCAGAAUCAUAAACGUAGUAAAACAUGAAAUAAUUGUUGACCCAGGAGUUGAAAGCAUGGACUUUCACUUCUCAUUCCCACAUUUUUAAAAAGGUACUGACACCUCCAUUUGUAAAGAAGACCCUGAAGAGUUCAGAGAGAAGACAUUACUGGAAAUGUGUUUUGCUAGAAGAAUUGUGUAUACCGCCCUGGCUCUGGAGGAUGCUGAAAGAGGAAGACACAGAAGCAGGACGACCCUGAGAGAUUAAGCCUCUUAAUCGUGAAACAGGUAGCUUCUCUGACAUUCUGGGUGUUUGAAUGCUCAUUUCUUUGAUCCUUGUGGUGUGGAAAAUGCCCCACAGAUUGGAGGUCACCUGCACUGGGCCUGGACACCCACAGGCGUGUGUGCAUUCCAGGCAGAUUCUUUACCUUCUGCGCCACUAGGGAAGCCCCCUCAGGGGUGGAUAUCCAGGUGCAAAUGGAAAAUACCCGAUUGACCAAGAGAUGCGCUCUUAAUAUAUUCUCACUUGGAAUAUAUUAAAAGGGAUGUUUCUACUUUAGAACCCAAAUAGGGCUUUUCGUUGAUUUGAGUGAGUGAAACUUUGCAUUAUUAGGUCAGCUACAUGGAACCGAUCAUUGGCUCUGGGGGCUGGAAGGAGCCCAGAAACCCUCCAGUCAAACUUUACCCGUUCUAGAAUUGAAAAGACACAGGGAGAUCAAGUGACUUGCUCACGGCCACUC